UGAGACCACUGUGUCUAAAGCAAAUCUCA
rnacentral:piRNA from 1 species